GACGAACGCUGGCGGCGUGCUUAAUACAUGCAAGUAGGACGCAGUUGCGAACGUGUGAGUAACGCGUACGUAACUGCCUAGUAGAGGGGGGUAACUAUUGGCAACGAUAGCCAAUACCGCAUACUAGUAGAUGGACCUGCGUUGUAUUAGCUAGUAGGUAGGGUAAUGGCCUACCUAGGCGACGCUACAUAGCCGACCUGAGAUGAUGAUCGGCCACACUGGGACGGAGACACGGCCCAGACUCCUACGGGAGGCAGCAGUAGGGAAUCUUCGGCAAUGGGGGAAAGCCUGACCGAGCAACGCCGCGUGAGUGAAGAAGGUUUUCGGAUCGUAAAGCUCUGUUGUUAAGGAAGCGGUACUUAACCAGAAAGGGACGGCUAACUACGUGCCAGCAGCCGCGGUAAUAC
rnacentral:rRNA from 1 species